rnacentral:rRNA from 1 species
UACGUAGGGUGCGAGCGUUAAUCGGAAUUACUGGGCGUAAAGCGUGCGCAGGUGGUUCGUUAAGUCUGUCGUGAAAGCCCCGGGCUCAACCUGGGAAUGGCGAUGGAUACUGGCGGGCUAGAGUGCGGUAGAGGAGAGUGGAAUUCCCGGUGUAGCAGUGAAAUGCGUAGAGAUCGGGAGGAACAUCAGUUGCGAAGGCGGCUCUCUGGACCAGCACUGACACUGAGGCACGAAAGCGUGGGGAGCAAACAGG